CCCAAGUAGCUGGGAUUACAGGCACCCGCCACCAUGCCCAGUUAAACUUUGUAUUUUUAGUAGAGAUGGGGUUUCACCAUGUUGGUCAGGCUUGUGUUGAACUCCUGACCUCAGGAGAUCCACCUGCCUCGGCCUUCCAGAGUGCUGGGAUUACAGGCAUGAGCCACCACGCCCGGCCUCCACUUUCUUUUUCCCCACCUAUUAAGAGAAAAAAGAAAAUUACACUUAAAUUUCCUGUUUUCUCUUGAAGUAGUCAAGGGUGUUUUUCAGCCAGCCUAGCCUUUGACUAAAUGUGCCGUACUCCCUGUUCUCUUACUACUUUUUCCACAUCCUGGCUAGGAGCAAGGUAUAAUUCAAAAGGGCCACAAAAGAAAAUGGGCUCAUGGAAAUGAAAAGAAUUAUACUCACUUUGCAUGGAAAGGAAAAUGGAGGAAAACGGAAUUGUAUUUAUUUCAAGUACAUGAAAGCUUUCACUCGAGGAUGAGAACAAUGUUUUAAGCCAGAACAAGAGGGGAGAGAUUUAAAAUGUAGCACUAGGAACUUUCUUUCACUUUAAGUAGGUUGUCUUCAGUGUCCCCAGGUAAACUUAGGAGCAUCUUCUCCACUGCUCCCAUUCCACAUUGAACCCAACUGCUGAAGAACAGUCAUCUUAUUUGAUUGCAUGUGUUUGUCUGCAAAGUCCACUACUACAGGAGACAGUAAGCAACUUGAGGAUGGCAUUUAACAUAAUGCCUACAUCAGAAAAAAACUGAGUAUUUAUAGGCUGAAUCAAUUUAAAGUGAGAUUCUUAAAUACCGAAAUGGGUUAUUUAACAUGUUCAUUUUUUGUAGUGGUGGAGGGAAGGAAACUUUAAAAAUGGGAUAGAUUCAGGACUUGAGUCAUUUCAUAAACACGUAAGAAUAACAAUCCUCAAAUGUAACUGAAGUAGUCAUUAGAGCUAUUGACAAUGUUCUGUACACAUUCUAGGCCAUGAAGCAGGAUCAUAUUGCCCCAUCUACUCCAAAGAGACUGGCUUUAAUCAACGAAAUAUGAUCAGCAUUAACUGGUCACAUCCAAGCAUUCAUGGCUCACCAAUCUCUCUUUUCCUGCCUCUGGCAUUGUUGAUGCCUGCUGUGGUUUGGAUGUGGUUUGUCUCUGCCAAAACUCACGAUGAAACUUAAUUGCCAAUGUAAUGUGGUUGGGAGUGGUGCCUUCCUUAGAUGAUUAGUUCGUUAAGCUAGAUUAAUGUCUCUCUUAGGACACUGGGUUAGUUCUUGAGUGAGUGGAUUUGUUCCCUUGAGAGUGGGUUGUUAUAAAGUGAGGUUGCCUCUCAUCUUCUGCCUCCUUGGCAAGCCUGCCUCCCCUUCUACUUCUCUGCCAUGUUAUAACGUGCAGCAUGAGACCUUCACCAGAAGCUGAGCAGAUGCUGAUGCCAUGGUUCUUGGAC
rnacentral:lncRNA from 1 species